rnacentral:rRNA from 1 species
CGGGGAGGUAGUGACGAAAAAUAACGAUACGGGACUCAUCCGAGGCCCCGUAAUCGGAAUGAGUACACUUUAAAUCCUUUAACAAGGACCAAUUGGAGGGCAAGUCUGGUGCCAGCAGCCGCGGUAAUUCCAGCUCCAAUAGCGUAUAUUAAAGUUGUUGCGGUUAAAAAGCUCGUAGUUGAAUCUGUGUGUCACAGUGUCGGUUCACCGCUCGCGGUGUCUAACUGGCAUUAUGUGGUACGUCCUACCGGUGGGCUUAGCUCCUUGCGGGCGGUCCAACUAAUCUCCCAUCGCGGUGCUCUUCACUGAGUGUCGAGGUGGGCCGGUACGUUUACUUUGAACAAAUUAGAGUGCUCAAAGCAGGCUAUCUUCGCCUGAAUACUGCGUGCAUGGAAUAAUGGAAUAGGACCUCGGUUCUAUUUUGUUGGUUUUCGGAACCCCGAGGUAAUGAUUAAUAGGGACAGAUGGGGGCAUUCGUAUUGCGACGUUAGAGGUGAAAUUCUUGGAUCGUCGCAAGACGGACUAAAGCGAAAGCAUUUGCCAAAAAUGUUUUCAUUAAUCAAGAACGAAAGUUAGAGGUUCGAAGGCGAUCAGAUACCGCCCUAGUUCUAACCAUAAACGAUGCCAGCUGGCGAUCCGCCGAAGUUCCUCCGAUGACUCGGCGGGCAGCUUCCGGGAAACCAAAGCUUUUGGGUUCCGGGGGAAGUAUGGUUGCAAAGCUGAAACUUAAAGGAAUUGACGGAAGGGCACCACCAGGAGUGGAGCCUGCGGCUUAAUUUGACUC